rnacentral:rRNA from 1 species
UACGGAGGAUCCAAGCGUUAUCCGGAUUUAUUGGGUUUAAAGGGUGCGUAGGCGGCCUAUUAAGUCAGGGGUGAAAGACGGUAGCUUAACUAUCGCAGUGCCUUUGAUACUGAUGGGCUUGAAUACACUAGAGGUAGGCGGAAUGUGACAAGUAGCGGUGAAAUGCAUAGAUAUGUCACAGAACACCAAUUGCGAAGGCAGCUUACUAUGGUGUGAUUGACGCUGAGGCACGAAAGCGUGGGUAGCAAACAGG